UACAGAGGUCUCAAGCGUUGUUCGGAUUCAUUGGGCGUAAAGGGCGCGUAGGCGGCGGGUCAAGUCGAGUGUGAAAGCCCCGGGCUCAACCUGGGAAUUGCGCUCGAGACUGGUCUGCUUGAGUUCGGGAGAGGAGAGUGGAAUUCCCAGUGUAGAGGUGAAAUUCGUAGAUAUUGGGAAGAACACCGGUGGCGAAGGCGGCUCUCUGGACCGAGACUGACGCUGAGGCGCGAAAGCGUGGGGAGCAAACAGGG
rnacentral:rRNA from 1 species